rnacentral:rRNA from 1 species
GUUCGAUCUGGCUCAAGAUUGUUUGGCGGGAUGCUUACGCUACCAGUCGAGCGGCGCUGGACUUCCGGUCUGGUGGCGGUUGACGGCGAACGGGUGAUGAUAGCAAUGGGAACAUUGCUAAAUGGCGGGGGAUAACUACGCGGCGCGUAUCAUCUACUGCCACGUUCAGGAAAGCCGGGGGACCUUCGGGCCUGCACUAAUGGAAGCGGCCAGUAUCGGAUUGCUGGUUGGUGGGAACAACGGCUCUACAGGCGACGAUCUGGCGGCAUUGUUUGAGGACGACCAGCCACACUGGACGAGACACAUGCCGACUCCUACGGGAGGCAGCAGUGGGGAAAUUUUUGGACAAUGGAAACCCUGAUCCAGCCUUCCCGUGUGCGAUGAAGGCCUUCGGGUUGUAAAGCACUUUUGGCAGGAAAAAACGGCACCGGGAUAUUACCCGUGCAACUGACGGUACCUGCAAAGAUAAGCGCAAUACUUUACGUGCCAGCAACCGCGGUAGCUGUAGGGUGCAAGCGCCGUCGGAAUUACUGGGCGUAAAGCGUGCGCAGGCGGUUCAGAAGAAAAAUCUUUAAAUCUGAAACUUAACUUUGGAACUGCAUUUUAACUACCGAAGCUAGGUGUGUCAGAGGAGGUGGAAUUCCGCGUGUAGCAGUGAAAUGCAUGAAUGUGCGGAGAACACCGAUGGCGAAGGCAACCUCCUGGGAUAACAUAGCGCUCCAUGCACACAGCGUGGGAGCAAACGAGAUUAGAAUACCUGGUAGUCCGCCUAAACGUGUCAAUAGCUGUUGGGGCCUUCGGGCGCUGUUGGCCGCAACUAACGCGUGAGGUGAGCCGCCUGAUGCACAUUCGCAAGAUUAAAACUCAAAAUUGACGGGACCUUUCAACAGUGGAUGAUGUGGAUUAAUUCGAUGCAACGCGAAAAACCUUACCUCUACAUAACUGUCCAGAAUCCCGAAGAGAUUUGGGAGUAGCUGAAGAAACCGGAACACAGGUGCUGCAUGGCUGUCGUCCAGCUCGUGUCGGAUGUUGGGUUAAGUCCCGCAACGAGCGCAACCCUUGUCAUUGGUUGCUGCGAAAGGGCACUCUAAUGAGACUGCCAUUGACAAACCGGAAGGAAGGUCGAAGGAUGACGUCCAAGAGUCGCGAAGCCCUUAUGGGUUAGGGCUUCGCGUCAUCAAUGGUCGGGACAGAGGGUACUUAAACCACGGGGAAGUAGUCGAAAACCGAUCUGAUGGAUCGCAGUCUGCGCUCGACUGAUGAAGGUGGUCGCUAGUGUCGCGGAUCAGCAUGUCGCGGUGAAUACGUUCCCGGGUCUUGUACACCGCCCGUCACACCAUGGGGUAGGUUUUACCAGAAGUAGUUAGCCUAACCGUAAGGGCGAUUACGGUAGGAUUCAUGACUGGGGUGAAGUCAUGGCUAAAGGUAA